CGGAGCGUAGCGCAGCCUGGUAGCGCAUCUGCUUUGGGAGCAGAGGGUCGCGAGUUCAAAUCCCGCCGCUCCGACCA
rnacentral:tRNA from 1 species